rnacentral:rRNA from 1 species
UUCGGGAAUGGAUUAGUGGCGAACGGGUGAGGAACACGUGAGAAACCUGCCUUUCAUUCUGGGAUAACACCGGGAAACCGGUGCUAAUACCAAAUAACGUCGGAGAGUCACAUGACUUUCUGACGAAAGGAAUUCCGAUUCGAGAGGGUCUCGCGGCCUAUCAGCUUGUUGGUGGGGUAAUGGCCUACCAAGGCAACGACGGGUAGCUGGUCUGAGAGGAUGAUCAGCCACACUGGGACUGAGACACGGCCCAGACUCC